rnacentral:rRNA from 1 species
UACAGAGGGGGGCAAGCGUUUAUUCGGAAAUUAUUGGGCGUAAAGGGCGCGUAGGCGGCUUGGCAAGUGGACGGUGAAAAUCCCCUCGGGCUUACCGAGGGAAACUGCCCGUCCAAACUGACUUCGCUUGAGACCGGGAGAGGUGAGUGGGAAUUCCCAUGUGUGCGGGUGAAAAUGCGUAGAUAUUUGGGAGGAAACACCAGUGGCGAAGGCGGACUCACCUGGACCCGGUACUGACGCUGAUGCGCGAAAGCGAUGGGGGAGCA